rnacentral:tRNA from 1 species
GGGGUUGUGGCUCAGUGGUAGAGCGCUUGCCUCGCAUGCAUGAGGUCCUGGGUUCGAUCCUCAGCACCACA